rnacentral:rRNA from 1 species
GAUGGAUAGGGGUUCUGAGAGGAAGGUCCCCCACAUUGGUACUGAGACACGGACCAAACUCCUACGGGAGGCAGCAGUGAGGAAUAUUGGUCAAUGGCCGAGAGGCUGAACCAGCCAAGUCGCGUGAGGGAUGAAGGUUCUAUGGAUCGUAAACCUCUUUUAUAAGGGAAUAAAGUGCGGGACGUGUCCCGUUUUGUAUGUACCUUAUGAAUAAGGAUCGGCUAACUCCGUGCCAGCAGCCGCGGUAAUACGGAGGAUCCGAGCGUUAUCCGGAUUUAUUGGGUUUAAAGGGUGCGUAGGCGGCCUUUUAAGUCAGCGGUGAAAGUCUGUGGCUCAACCAUAGAAUUGCCGUUGAAACUGGGGGGCUUGAGUAUGUUUGAGGCAGGCGGAAUGCGUGGUGUAGCGGUGAAAUGCAUAGAUAUCACGCAGAACCCCGAUUGCGAAGGCAGCCUGCCAAGCCAUUACUGACGCUGAUGCACGAAAGCGUGGGGAUCAAACAGGAUUAGAUACCCUGGUAGUCCACGCAGUAAACGAUGAUCACUAGCUGUUUGCGAUACACUGUAAGCGGCACAGCGAAAGCGUUAAGUGAUCCACCUGGGGAGUACGCCGGCAACGGUGAAA